GACGAAGGGGGCUAGCGUUGUUCGGAAUUACUGGGCGUAAAGCGAGUGUAGGUGGUUGUCCAAGUUGGAUGUGAAAGCCUUGAGCUCAACUCAAGAAAUGCAUUCAGGACUGGGCGGCUAGAGUACCGGAGAGGAUAGUGGAAUUCCCAGUGUAGUGGUGAAAUACGUAGAGAUUGGGAAGAACACCAGUGGCGAAGGCGGCUAUCUGGACGGUUUCUGACACUAAGACUCGAAAGCGUGGGGAGCAAACAGG
rnacentral:rRNA from 1 species